rnacentral:rRNA from 1 species
GAUGAACGCUAGCGGCAGGCUUAACACAUGCAAGUCGAGGGGCAGCACGAUGUAGCAAUACAUGGGUGGCGACCGGCGCACGGGUGCGUAACACGUAUGGAAUCUGCCCUUUACUGGGGAAUAGCCCUCCGAAAGGAGGAUUAAUGCCCCAUAACAAGCGGAACGGCAUCGUUCGGCUUUGAAAGCUCCGGCGGUAACGGAUGACCAUGCGCCCGAUUAGCUAGUUGGUGAGGUAACGGCUCACCAAGGCUACGAUCGUUAGGGGGCCUGAGAGGGUUAUCCCCCACACUAGUACUGAGACACGGACCAGACUCCUACGGGAGGCAGCAGUGAGGAAUAUUGCGCAAUGGAGGCAACUCUGACGCAGCCAUGCCGCGUGAAGGAAGAAGGCGCUACGCGUUGUAAACUGCUUUUAACCGGGAAGAAACCCCAGGACGUGUCCUGGGUUGACGGUACCGGAGGAAUAAGCACCGGCUAACUUCGUGCCAGCAGCCGCCGUAAGAC